UAAGUAUAUACUGUUUUCAUUUAGUUUAUUGAUAUUCUUUGAAGUCAGGUUAUUAUUUCAUUAUUUAUAUUAGACGUCAAAAUAGGAACUCUUAUUUUGAAAAGGCUUCGCUCGUUAAAACGGACGGAAUUAGCAAGUGUUUAAAAAAAGUGCGCCUGUGUCUUGAGAAGCACAUCCACGGAGUGAGAAGAGAGUGAUUAAUUAUUGUAUUAUCAUAUGAUUAAUGAGCUCCAGGCUGAUAUGGCACAAGCUGUUACGGUGAGUUCAUGAGUGAAUAAGGUUCACUAAAAUAAAGCACUAUGAACCAUCAGUCAAGGCCUGUGGCCAUCAUUCAGCCCGGGAUGCUGCAUGGACCACCAAGUAUCUCACCUCCAGACAGGUCAGACAAGGAGAAAUCCACAAGUCAUCCAGUUUUACAUCUGAGUUUAUGAUGCAUAUGAGCAGAGGAGCAUGUGCACAUGACCUGUAAGAGCGCAGAGGCAGGACAUCAUAUGGAGGGUGCAGUGAAGGAACAGCAACGUAUUGAAACUGUGAACUUUAACACAGUACCUACUGCAAAGGACAAAAACAGCCAAUGAUGAAAUACAGGGGUGUGAAAAAUGAAAAAAAAGAGUCUUCUCUGCUCGCUUGUUUAACUUUCGGUGGUCAGACUACUGCAUGGAGUGUGAACGGAAACUGCAGAGGCAUGCAGAACAGUGAGACGUAGACAACCUCUGUGACCUGCAGAUAUCAGACUUAAUCUCAAGGGAGAAAACGCCACAAGCCAUCGGAGCUUGUUCACUAAAACAGCUGCCUGAUGCUGGACAUGAGGCUGACGAGAGUGCUGAAAGUGAGCUGAAACAGUAGAGUUAUGGCCCAUGAAAUCAAAAAACAGUGCUUAAAUACACUAAAAUGCUUUGUACAGCUGAGUCAGGCAAUAAAUUUCUGGGGCUUCAUUAACAAAACUUUCACCUUAUACAGUCAUUUGACCUAUUGUUAACAUAAAAAUAUUCUUAAGUCUUUAACUUAAAUUUUUUGUUGUGUUCCUUGCUUCUCCAACAGUAAGUAUGGUAAUUUCUUGCAACAUGGAAGGCAGGCAUUGUAAUAUUUCUAUAUUUUUGUAUUUCCUGUACUAAUUAUCAGCUUUAUUUUUCCUUGUCGAUUGCGUCUUUGGCAUCAUUAAUUUCUGCUUUAGUUUUGAACUUACCUUAGCAUGGCUGGUUUGGUCAGACCCUGAGAACCUGAGAUAUAUUUGGACUGUAAAUGACCUUUAAUGUGAAUAUUGUUUCUAAGUAUAUACUGUUUUCAUUUAGUUUAUUGAUAUUCUUUGAAGUCAGGUUAUUAUUUCAUUAUUUAUAUUAGACGUCAAAAUAGGAACUCUUAUUUUGAAAAGGCUUCGCUCGUUAAAACGGACGGAAUUAGCAAGUGUUUAAAAAGUGCGCCUGUGUCUUGAGAAGCACAUCCACGGAGUGAGAAGAGAGUGAUUAAUUAUUGUAUUAUCAUAUGAUUAAUGAGCUCCAGGCUGAUAUGGCACAAGCUGUUACGGUGAGUUCAUGAGUGAAUAAGGUUCACUAAAAUAAAGCACUAUGAACCAUCAGUCAAGGCCUGUGACCAUCAUUCAGCCCGGGAUGCUGCAUGGACCACCGAGUAUCUCACCUCCAGACAGGUCAGCUGUUACGGUGAGUUCAUGAGUGAAUAACGUUCACUAAAAUAAAGCACUAUGAACCAUCAGUCAAGGCCUGUGACCAUCAUUCAGCCCGGGAUGCUGCAUGGACCACCAAGUAUCUCACCUCCAGACAGGUCAGACAAGGAGAAAUCCACAAGUCAUCCAGUUUUACAUCUGAGUUUAUGAUGCAUAUGAGCAGAGGAGCAUGUGCACAUGACCUGUAAGAGCGCAGAGGCAGGACAUCAUAUGGAGGGUGCAGUGAAGGAACAGCAACGUAUUGAAACUGUGAACUUUAACACAGUACCUACUGCAAAGGACAAAAACAGCCAAUGAUGAAAUACAGGGGUGUGAAAAAUGAAAAAAAAGAGUCUUCUCUGCUCGCUUGUUUAACUUUCGGUGGUCAGACUACUGCGUAGAGUGUGAACGGAAACUGCAGAGGCAUGCAGAACAGUGAGAUGUAGACAACCUCUGUGACCUGCAGAUAUCAGACUUAAUCUCAAGGGAGAAAACGCCACAAGCCAUCGGAGCUUGUUCACUAAAACAGCUGCCUGAUGCUGGACAUGAGGCUGACGAGAGUGCUGAAAGUGAGCUGAAACAGUAGAGUUAUGGCCCAUAAAAUCAAAAACGGUGCUUAAAUACACUAAAAUGCUUUGUACAGCUGAGUCAGGCAAUAAAUUUCUGUGGCUUCAUUAACAAAACUUUCACCUUAUACAGUCAUUUGACCUAUUGUUAACAUAAAAAUAUUCUUAAGUCUUUAACUUAAAUUUUUUGUUGUGUUCCUUGCUUCUCCAACAGUAAGUAUGGUAAUUUCUUGCAACAUGGAAGGCAGGCAUUGUAAUAUUUCUAUAUUUUUGUAUUUCCUGUACUAAUUAUCAGAGAGCUAACGGCCUCUCCGUUCACUAUGCAGCAUAUAAACACUAUCUAAAUUUUAAGAAUGUAGGAAGUUUCACAGGCUGAUGAAUUUUAGUCAACAAAUUAUUUACAGGACCACUACUCACAUCCACAUAAACACAGUUUUGCUGUCUUUAAUGUGCACAAUACCUCAAUUUAUGAAGUUUAGGAUGUUAAAAUACAAAAGUACAGAGAUGCUGCCGAUGUAAAAACACACAAAACCCACUGGUGGUCUUCUUGUAAAGACUUUGAAUUUGGUGUACAGUACCUUUCACGGAGAGAAGGAAGACGA